rnacentral:rRNA from 1 species
AGUGAACGCUGGCGGUAGGCCUAACACAUGCAAGUCGAACGGCAGCACAGUAAGAGCUUGCUCUUACGGGUGGCGAGUGGCGGACGGGUGAGGAAUACAUCGGAAUCUACUUUUUCGUGGGGGAUAACGUAGGGAAACUUACGCUAAUACCGCAUACGACCUACGGGUGAAAGCAGGGGAUCUUCGGACCUUGCGCGAUUGAAUGAGCCGAUGUCGGAUUAGCUAGUUGGCGGGGUAAAGGCCCACCAAGGCGACGAUCCGUAGCUGGUCUGAGAGGAUGAGCGGCGAAACGGUAACGGAUAAACGACCCAUACCGCUAGCGGAGGAAGCAGUAGGCACUUGUGAGCAAGGGGCGAAUGCAGGAUGGAGCAAACACGCGCGAGUGAUGAACGUCUUAGGAUCGGAAAACGCUGUUAUAAGGGAAGAAAAAAUGUGGAAGGAACUAGGCACGUAUUGACGGGACAGAAUAAGAAAGAGACGGCUAACUACGUG